CACCUCUGGUGCAUCGGUUGUCACGCCAGUGGCAUAGCCGAGUAGCUAAGUGCGGAAGAGAUAACCGCUGAAAGCAUCUAAGCGGGAAACUCGUCUCAAGAUGAGUCUUGCCGGGGCCUUGAGCCCCCUGAAGAGUCGUUCGAGACCAGGACGUUGAUAGGCUGGGUGUGGAAGCGCAGUAAUGCGUUAAGCUGACCAGUACUAAUUGCUCGUGAGGCUUGACCCU
rnacentral:rRNA from 1 species